rnacentral:rRNA from 1 species
UCCCGAGCGUUNUCCGGAUUUAUUGGGCGUAAAGCGAGCGCAGGCGGUUAGAUAAGUNUGAAGUGAAAGGCAGUGGCUCAACCGUUGUAGGCUUUGGAAACUGUUUAACUUGAGUGCAGAAGGGGAGAGUGGAAUUCCAUGUGUAGCGGUGAAAUGCGUAGAUAUAUGGAGGAACACCGGUGGCGAAAGCGGCUCUCUGGUCUGUAACUGACGCUGAGGCUCGAAAGCGUGGGGAGCGAACAGGAUUAGAUACCCUGGUAGUNCACGCCGUAAACGAUGAGUGCUAGGUGUUAGGUCCUUUCCGGGACUUAGUGCCGCAGCUAACGCAUUAAGCACUCCGCCUGGGGAGUACGACCGCAAGGUUGAAACUCAAAGGAAUUGACGGGGGCCCGCACAAGCGGUGGAGCAUGUGGUUUAAUUCGAAGCAACGCGAAGAACCUUACCAGGUCUUGACAUCCCUCUGACCACUCUAGAGAUAGAGUUUCCCUUCGGGGCAGAGGUGACAGGUGGUGCAUGGUUGUCGUCAGCUCGUGUCGUGAGAUGUUGGGUUAAGUCCCGCAACGAGCGCAACCCUUAUUGUUAGUUGCCAUCAUUCAGUUGGGCACUCUAGCGAGACUGCCGGUAAUAAACCGGAGGAAGGUGGGGAUGACGUCAAAUCAUCAUGCCCCUUAUGACCUGGGCUACACACGUGCUACAAUGGCUGGUACAACGAGUCGCAAGCCGGUGACGGCAAGCUAAUCUCUGAAAGCCAGUCUCAGUUCGGAUUGUAGGCUGCAACUCGCCUACAUGAAGUCGGAAUCGCUAGUAAUCGCGGAUCAGCACGCCGCGGUGAAUACGUUCCCGGGCCUUGUACACACCGCCCGUCACACCACGAGAGUUUGUAACACCCGAAGUCGG